rnacentral:siRNA from 1 species
CUAAUGGCAUACCUAUGUAAUUA